rnacentral:rRNA from 1 species
UACGUAGGUGGCGAGCGUUAUCCGGAAUCAUUGGGCGUAAAGAGGGAGCAGGCGGCCGCAAGGGUCUGUGGUGAAAGACCGAAGCUAAACUUCGGUAAGCCAUGGAAACCGGGCGGCUAGAGUGCGGAAGAGGAUCGUGGAAUUCCAUGUGUAGCGGUGAAAUGCGUAGAUAUAUGGAGGAACACCAGUGGCGAAGGCGACGGUCUGGGCCGCAACUGACGCUCAUUCCCGAAAGCGUGGGGAGCAAAUAG